UACGAAGGGGGCGAGCGUUGUUCGGAUUUACUGGGCGUAAAGGGCGCGUAGGCGGCUCGGUAAGUCGGGAGUGAAAGCCCGGGGCUCAACCCCGGAACGGCUCUCGAAACUGCCGCGGCUCGAGUGCGGAAGAGGCAACCGGAAUUCCCAGUGUAGCGGUGAAAUGCGUAGAUAUUGGGAAGAACACCUGAGGCGAAGGCGGGUUGCUGGGCCGACACUGACGCUGAGGCGCGAAAGCCAGGGGAGCAAACGGG
rnacentral:rRNA from 1 species